GACCUGAUGGUGAAUGGUUCACACCCAUCUUUCCUGGAAGAUGGCCACGAUUGAAGAUGGGAGUCUCUGGUUCGAUUCCGGGGCAGGUCU